rnacentral:rRNA from 1 species
UAUUAUUUUAGCGGCGGACGGGUGAGUAACGUGUGGGCAACCUACCUUUUACUGUGGAAUAAGUCGUUGGAAACGACGACUAAUACCGCAUACGGUUCUUGGAAGGCAUCUUCUAAGAAAGAAAGGAGUAAUUCGGUAAAAGAUGGGCCCGCAUCUGAUUAGCUAGUUGGUGAGAUAAUAGCCCACCAAGGCAACGAUCAGUAGCCGACCUGAGAGGGUGACCGGCCACAUUGGGACUGAGACACGGCCCAAACUCCUACGGGAGGCAGCAG